AACUCUCAAAAACCAGCGUUCAUCAGACUCCCACUGCCAUGAUUAAAGAUGCUGGAGAAGACAUCCUGAUGAACUGCAACCAUUCAAACACUGAUUUUAAUAUGAUCCAGUGGUACAAACAGUCUGCUGGGGAAAAUGAUAUGGCUUUAAUUGGUUAUGUACGAUUCACUUCUGCGGUUGUUGAAGAUAAAUUCAAAGACUCUUAUAAUGUGAGCGGUCAUGGAUCAAGUCUGGCACAUCUUCAUAUUCCAAAGAGUCGAUCCGAGAACAGCGCAGUGUAUUUCUGUGCAGCCAGUAGAGCACAGUGCUACACAAACCCUCCGUCUUUAACAAAAACCUUCUCUGACGCAGCCAGUUACAGAAAUUACCACUUGAACCACAUUGUGAAUGACUGAUAGACAGCUGGUGCACCAUGAGACAGGUAGAUUCUUAGUUUAUCCAUUAGGGUGCAGUGUUUUUCCAGAUCUGUUGAUGUUGAAUUCGAUGUUGUUGUUGAAUUUAAUCAAUUCUAUAUACGUGUAGUUUAUAUGGUGAAUAUUACUAAUUCAACAUUUUAACAUUUUUAACAGCAAUUCAACAAUUCAUGGACUGAAGAGACUGUGUUUUGUUUGGUCUUUAAAACAGCAGUAACAUCACAUAAAAUGUAUUUGUUAUUAUUAACACUGCUAUUUAUUACUUCCUUGAGGUGGCAGUGUGUAUUUUACCCCCAGCGGCGUGUAAUGGUAACUGGCAUGAUGGUUUUAAUAUUUAGAAAAGGAGGAUAUGAUGUUGUUUUUCUGAUAGGAGGACUUAAUCAGAAAGGGAGGAGGGAAUCCUCUGUAUACCAGCAUAGUGAAGAAAACAGCACCAGAAACAAGACUGACUUUGAAAACACAACAUGAUGAUCAUUGUCUGCUGCAUAACCUUGAAUGUUAUACUGGUUUCAGGUUCCUCUCUAAAUGAACUAGUCUACCAGAAUCCAGCCCACACUUUCAACAAACCUGAAGGAGCAGCUAAAAUUGAGUGUUCACACAGUAUUCAAAACUAUGAUACAAUCCUCUGGUACAAGAAAUCAAAGAACAGACAGCUGCAGUUGCUUGGAUACAUGGUGGGAGGCAGUGGAUCUCCAGAGAAGGGAGUGAAUGUGAAGAUAGCAGGGAGUGCAAAUAAAGACCAAAACUGCACAUUAACAAUUGAAGAACUCCAGCUGAACAGCAGUGCAGUGUACUUCUGUGCUGCUAGUUUACACAGUGCUACAUAUCACUGCUCCUCAGUACAAAAACCUCCACAACACAUUUUGUCAUCUCGCUACUACAGCUCACAGCCUCUUGCACCUGUAUGCUUUCCUUUUAUGAGGUGGUGA
rnacentral:lncRNA from 1 species